CGGCGACCGGCGCACGGGUGGGUAACACGUAUGCGACCUGCCCGUAGCAGGGGGAUAAGCGGAAGAAAUUCCGUCUAAUACCGCGUAAUAUCUUUCGGGGGCAUCCCUGAGGGAUUAAAGGAAGCGAUUCCGGCUACGGAUGGGCAUGCGGCGCAUUAGCUAGUCGGCGGGGUAACGGCCCACCGAGGCGACGAUGCGUAGGGGUUCUGAGAGGAAGGUCCCCCACACUGGUACUGAGACACGGACCAGACUCCUACGGAAGGCAGCAG
rnacentral:rRNA from 1 species